rnacentral:rRNA from 1 species
GACGAACGCUGGCGGCGUGCUUAACACAUGCAAGUCGAACGGACUGAUUCUUUCGGGAAGCAGUCAGUGGCGAACGGGUGAGUAACGCGUGAGCAAUCUACCUUACACUGGGGGAUAACACUUGGAAACGAGUGCUAAUACCGCAUAACAUCUACUGAUGGCCUCAUUGUUAUAUCCAAGGAGCAAUCCGGUGAAAGAUGAGCUCGCGUCCGAUUAGAUAGUUGGCGGGGUAACGGCCCACCAAGUCAGCGAUCGGUAGCCGGACUGAGAGGUCGAACGGCCACAUUGGGACUGAGACACGGCCCAGACUCCUACGGGAGGCAGCAGUGGGGAAUAUUGGGCAAUGGGCGAAAGCCUGACCCAGCAACGCCGCGUGAAGGAUGAAGGUUUUCGGAUUGUAAACUUCUUUGACCAAGGACGAUAAUGACGGUACUUGGAAAACAAGCCACGGCUAACUACGUGCCAGCAGCCGCAGUAACAC